rnacentral:rRNA from 1 species
UGGGGAAUCUUGCACAAUGGGGGAAACCCUGAUGCAGCGACGCCGCGUGAACGAUGAAGCCCUUCGGGGUGUAAAGUUCUUUCGACAGGAACGAUAAUGACGGUACCUGGAGAAGAAGCUGCGGCUAACUACGUGCCAGCAGCCGCGGUAAUACGUAGGCAGCGAGCGUUGUUCGGAGUUACUGGGCGUAAAGAGUGCGUAGGCGGCGAGCCAAGUUUGGUGUGAAAUCUCCCGGCUUAACCGGGAGGGUGCGCCGAAAACUGGUUGGCUGGAGUAUGGGAGAGGAAAGCGGAAUUCCUGGUGUAGCGGAGAAAUGCGUAGAUAUCAGGAGGAACACCUGCGGUGUAGACAGCUUUCUGGACCAAAACUGACGCUGAGGCACGAAAGCGUGGGUAGCAAACA